GAUUGAAGUCUGCAACUCGACUUCAUGACGCUGGAAUCGCUAGUAAUCGCAAAUCAGAAUGUUGCGGUGAAUACGUUCCCGGGCCUUGUACACACCGCCCGUCACACCAUGAGAGUUGCCAACACCCGAAGUCCGUGAGCUAACCGCAAGGGAGCAGCGGCCGAAGGUGGGGGUAGCGAUUGGGGUGAAGUCGUAACAAGGUAGCCGUAGGAGAACCUGCGGCUGGAUCACCUCCUUU
rnacentral:rRNA from 1 species